rnacentral:lncRNA from 1 species
AGCUGCUUGGAUUUGAGUCAAGUGUUGAUACAUUUUUUGUGCAGCAAACCAAAGCAAAACCAAAUCAUAGCCAACUAUUAUUUAAUUUAAAAAUCCAGCUGCAAGCGUAUUGCCCACUUCGACUUCCACCCAUUGCCAUUGGUGUCAUGUUUUUAUUUUGUGUGUUUGCCAGGCCUGGCCUGGCAAAGUGGCACGGAAAAAACUUUGUGGAACAUCUUUUUGGCCAGAGAGAAAUGGGCAAGGCGCGGCUACAGACGACGGGGCUGGGGGGCUGUCGCAUGGCCUUGCCAGCUGGAAAACCGCAGAGGAGGAAGACAAUUGAAAUUGUUUCACAUGCGCUCGCGCAGCUUCAGCAGCAUAUGGAUAUGGCUACGUGUCUGCCACUGUUGGAGAAACGAGACUCCAGGGCGGAGGAAAAAUCUUUGGCAUUCGUUUUGGGUCUUUGCAUUGUGGCUGCAAACGCAGCCGCUGCUGGGACAUGGAUAAUGCGCACCUUGACGGACAUUUUGACAGC